UAAGGAAUAUUGCUCAAUGGGAGAAAUCCUGAAGCAGCAACGCCGCGUGGAGGAUGAAGGGUCUAUGACUUGUAAACUCCUGUAAAGAAGGAAAAAAUUCCCAUUAGAUGGGAGAUGAUGGUACUUCUGGAGUAAGCCCCGGCUAACUACGUGCCAGCAGCCGCGGUAAUACGUAGGGGGCAAGCGUUGUCCGGAUUUACUGGGUGUAAAGGGUGCUCAGGCGGAUUUGUAAGUCAGAGGUGAAAUCUUACAGCUUAACUGUGAAACUGCCUUUGAUACUGCAAGCAUAGAGUAUGGAAGAGAGUGAUGGAAUAUCUGGUGUAGCAGUGAAAUGCGUAGAUAUCAGAUAGAACACCAAUGGCGAAGGCAGUCACUUGGUCCAUUACUGACGCUAAAGCACGAAAGCGUGGGUAGCAAACA
rnacentral:rRNA from 1 species